AUGUCUUCCUCCUCCGCCUCCUUCCAGUCGAUGCUCGGGGGUGGAGCCCCGGAGAAGCUCACCCGCACCAACUAUGUGCUGUGGCGGACACAGAUCACGCCGUAGCUGCGGGGCGCCGGCGUCUUUCAUUACGUCGACGGCAUGGCAACCGAGCCGGCCAAAGACCUCACCACCAAGGACGCCGCCGGCAAGGAGACCACUAAGCCAAAUCCCCUCCAUCCGCUUUGGGUGAAGGAGGAUCAGCAGGUCCUUGGAUAUCUACUCCAACAUUUGUCCAAGGAAGUGCUCGUGACGGUGACCACGAUC
rnacentral:rRNA from 1 species